rnacentral:rRNA from 1 species
GCAGUCGACGGCAGCACGGGAGCAAUCCUGGUGGCGAGUGGCGAACGGGUGAGUAAUACAUCGGAACGUGUCCUGGAGUGGGGGAUAGCCCGGCGAAAGCCGGAUUAAUACCGCAUACGCUCUGUGGAGGAAAGCGGGGGAUCUUUCGGGACCUCGCGCUCAAGGGGCGGCCGAUGGCAGAUUAGCUAGUUGGUGGGGUAAAGGCCUACCAAGGCGACGAUCUGUAGCUGGUCUGAGAGGACGACCAGCCACACUGGGACUGAGACACGGCCCAGACUCCUACGGGAGGCAGCAGUGGGGAAUUUUGGACAAUGGGCGCAAGCCUGAUCCAGCAAUGCCGCGUGUGUGAAGAAGGCCUUCGGGUUGUAAAGCACUUUUGUCCGGAAAGAAAACCUCUGGGUUAAUACCCCGGGGGGAUGACGGUACCGGAAGAAUAAGCACCGGCUAACUACGUGCCAGCAGCCGCGGUAAUACGUAGGGUGCGAGCGUUAAUCGGAAUUACUGGGCGUAAAGCGUGCGCAGGCGGUUCGUUAAGACAGAUGUGAAAUCCCCGGGCUUAACCUGGGAACUGCAUUUGUGACUGGCGGGCUAGAGUAUGGCAGAGGGGGGUAGAAUUCCACGUGUAGCAGUGAAAUGCGUAGAGAUGUGGAGGAAUACCGAUGGCGAAGGCAGCCCCCUGGGCCAAUACUGACGCUCAUGCACGAAAGCGUGGGGAGCAAACAGGAUUAGAUACCCUGGUAGUCCACGCCCUAAACGAUGUCAACUAGUUGUUGGGGAUUCAUUUCCUUAGUAACGUAGCUAACGCGUGAAGUUGACCGCCUGGGGAGUACGGUCGCAAGAUUAAAACUCAAGAG